rnacentral:misc_RNA from 1 species
CGAAAUGCGAUAAGUAAUGUGAAUUGCAGAAUUCAGUGAAUCAUCGAAUCUUUGAACGCACAUUGCGCCCGCCAGUAUUCUGGCGGGCAUGCCUGUUCGAGCGUCAUUUCAACCAUCAAGCCCCCGGCUUGUGUUGGGGACCUGCGGCUGCCCGCAGGCCCUGAAAACCAGUGGCGGGCUCGCUGUCACACCGAGCGUAGUAGCAUACAUCUCGCUCAGGGCGUGCUGCGGGUUCCGGCCGUUAAAAGCCUUUUUUUACCCAAGGUUGACCUCGGAUCAGGUAGGAAGACCCGCUGAACUUAAGC